UACGUAGGGGGCAAGCGUUGUCCGGAUUUAUUGGGCGUAAAGCGCGUGUAGGCGGCCAGGUAGGUCGGUUGUGAAAAUUGGAGGCUCAACCUCCAGACGUCGAUCGAAACCAUCUGGCUAGAGUCCGGAAGAGGAGAAUGGAAUUCCUGGUGUAGCGGUGAAAUGCGCAGAUAUCAGGAAGAACACCAACGGCGAAAGCACUCUGCUGGGCCGACACUGACACUGAGAGACGAAAGCUAGGGGAGCGAAUGGG
rnacentral:rRNA from 1 species